GUGUCUGUGUUUAACUGAUCCCUCUUUAACUCUGGCCACCUAUUCAAAUAGCACUUCCUAUUUGUACGUGUUUCCACCAUGGAUCCCAACUAUCCACACCUUAUUCCUUCCCCCACCCCCUCCACUCCCCAUGUACAUACUGUACACUUGGAGCAAUAGGUUGUAUAAACACCCUUGUGUCAUCUCAGACACAGUGUUGCAUAAUCCGCCAGCAAAAGUGCAGUAAACAACUUCCUCUUUCCAGUGAAACCCGAGAAUGCAGAUACUGUUUCUUCCCAUCCACACAAAAACACAUGCACACAUGCAAUCACACAAACAAAAACGUGCAUACUGUAGUGAACGUAUGUCGGUGUUCAUAAAAAUAUACAGAAGUGAGUUAAACCAAGAAAGUGUGCAUUAAAAGAAGGAAAAGUCUGUCUGAACAUCUGGGAGACAGAGGAAAGACAACGAGCAGAAGGACAGGAUAAUUCUGGUGGGGAUGUGGAUGUUCUGAUGGGUUGCAAUCUCCAUGUGGAGAGCCAGCGCUGAAAAGUGAAACACUUACACUCAAGCACACUCGCAUAAAUGCUCAGCACCAGUGGAUCUCUAAAUCUUUGUGAUCUAGCAGGGAUGUGCUGAUUAGGAUUAGACCACUCCAAUAGGAUGAGGAGAUAAGAACCGUCAACUUGAAGUGGAAUGUUGCCAAUGCUCAUGCAUGACUCACAUGCAGAGAGGGCGGACAGAUGGAAGACCUUUGACUAACUGGAAAAGAAAUAGCAUCUUUAAUUGUACACCUGCUGUGCUGUAUUGUAGGAAAAUAUUGUACCAAUACAGCUAAUGUGUCAGGGGAGUUUUGAAUACAUACUGUGCUUAUAUUGUGCCUAAUGUGUUCUCUGUUACAGGCAAAGGGUGCUAACACCAAAUAUUGAUUUGAUUUAGAUUUUUCUGUUUUCUUCACUGUCAAAUAAAUAAAUAAAUAACUCUCAUUGGGAUUAUUUUUGAAAGUAUCCUCACUUUACUUUAAGUGCCUGAAACUUUUGCACAAUACUGCCCAUACAUAUUCAAGCAAUAUAUUCCAGUGCACAUAUGUGCAAUGUCUCUUACAUUCAGGCACAACCACCAUACUGAUUUGUGUGUAUGUGGGUGUGUACAUGUGUUUUUGUGUGCUUGUCAGGUCUUAAUCCUUAAUGUUUUUGACAGACAAUGAAUGCAGAUGGCCUGUAGACGACUCAAAGGUAAAUUAGAAUG